UUCACACAAAUUCUCACCGAGGGUGAAUUGAAUGCAACCUAUGUUACCAUAUAUAACUUUUGGUUGCCUAGUGAAUAUGAUUCACAUGUACAAACACAAUUAUGUACCCCUUUCGAAGAUAAGUGUCUGAUUCUGUUAUAGGGUUAUAAGGUGCAAUCCAAAACCUAAAGGCAAUAUAUAUGACACCAUUGCACAUCAACCACGUGGUAUAAAACUCCAUCCACUAUUAUUAUCUCUGUUUAUAGAAGAUUGAAGAAAUAUUUUCUUGCAUUUUUUUUUUCAUAAUUCAUUUACCUUACAUACAACAAGGCUUUGAUGCCAUGUUGGUGAGCCAGAAGACUUUAGAAGUUUUAUUUAUUUAUUUAUUUAUUUAUUUAUUUAUUUAAUAUAUAUAUAUUAUGAAUUGUAGGCCUUGAGUUGAAUUAGUCAUCAUGUCUCGAUAUUGUAAGUUUUCUAUUAUGGUUAUUGCAAUUAAAUUGUGUUCUUUGUAUCUUGUUCAUAUUUUUAUCUGGGAACAUUUGGCGUCUAUGUUCUCCGCACUGGGUUGUAGGCUAUUAAGCGAAGGUGUCCUUGAGUAAAGGCAAACGCUCCUCUCAUAAUGCCACAACCCAAAACAAGGAAGAUGGUGAAGCUACGGAACAUAUGUCUCCAAGUGCUGAUUUUGGAAGGGAAGGGGAAUGACUCACCUCUAUCAACUUUACAGGUUUCAUCAGCAGACCAGGUCAGACUACCAACUAAAGUUAGAAGUCGAUGGAAGAUGAAUGUACAGAAGCCAGUGGUACAGAAUGAUUCAAAGUCUUCUGAAAAUAUAUUGAAGAAACAUCCCAAUAUGCCCAUUCCUUCAACCCAUGACAGAGCACUUACUCUUAAGUAUCGAGCACGGAGAUGAUGCAGUUUUGAGUGGUUUCACAGUGCUAUUGAUUACCCAUGGACCAUGGUUUGCAAGAAGGGAAAUGGAGUACCUGGAUCACGUCAGAUUGGGCCACGUUCCAAGAUUAACCCGUGUCGAAUGGGGUUUCAAAAGGAGUUCAUGAUUUGGCAAACCCCGGAGAAUUUCUGACCAAUUUCUGAAGGAAGAGAGGGAAGCUUAAUCAAUACCAAGACUCUGUUAGAACUUAGAAGAAAUCAAGCUGAACGUCGUGCUGGUACCAGAAAAGGGAUUCCAACUGAUUUAGCUCGCCCUUUCUCAGUUGGACAGCGUGUUCUUCCUCUUUAUCCGUGGACAAGAGAGAUUUUAAACUGUUUACCAGAGUAGAUGUCGUAUUCAGUUUGAUCUAUUAGAAUAAUUUCAAAAUAUGAACUUCAUUUGAUUGCGUGUUUUACGUUCUAUGAAACAGGUUAGAUAUAUAGCUUACAAUGAUACUUUGGUUAAACCAAUUAAGUUUUUUUUUUUUUUUUUUUUUUAAACCAGAACAUUACCUCUUUCAUUCAUCAUCUAUUUUCAAUACAAUUCUUAUCUUGCA